rnacentral:rRNA from 1 species
UACAGGGGGUGCAAACGUUGCUCGGAAUCAUUGGGCGUAAAGCGCACGUAGGCGGUUCGUUAUGUCGGAUGUGAAAGCCCUUGGCUUAACCGAGGAAGUGCAUCCGAAACUGGCGAGCUAGAGUACGAAAGAGGAUCGCGGAAUUCCCGGUGUAGAGGUGAAAUUCGUAGAUAUCGGGAGGAACACCAGUGGCGAAGGCGAGUCUCUGGACGACACCUGACACUGAGGCACGAAAGCUAGGGGAGCAAACAGG